GCCUGGGUUCUUCUGUCUUCAUGGGGUUUGCAUGUUCUCUAAGUACAUUAGUGGGUUCUCUCCGGCUUCCUCCCAGAGUCCAAAAAAAUGACUGUUGGUUUAUUUGGCUUAUCUAGUUGACCUUUGCCCCACGUCUUCUCCCCUCUCUUUUGCUUAAAGUAGUUUUGGCCAAAACCGGUCUGGUCCGGUCCGGUCUGAUCUGGUGGUGUUUCCCGUCCUGACCCUGCUUCCUGUCUGCAGGCGGGCUGAGGUGACCCUGGGCGGCGUCUGGCCCAACGCUAAGACGAGCUGCGCUCAGGUCCGCAGCCCAGAGCGACUCGUCGACAUGAACUACGAGGGCCGGCUGGAGAAGGCCCCAGGAAGCAGGGCGAGCGCUUCCUGGAGUACCGACCCGAGACCGGCUUCUGGGUGUUCGAGGUCAGCCAUUUCUCCAAAUAUGGCCUCCAGGACUCAGACGAAGACAACAACGUCCCGCCCAAAACCGACCCCAAGAAGCUGAAGACGAUGAUGUCACUUCCUGCUUCCAGGCUUCAGCAGCUGCUUCCUCCAUCCUAGCAGCAGGUGAGCAGCAGGCUCAGGUAGAGCAGCCUGCGCCCCUCCACACUCCUCCUCUUCCUCACUCACACAUUGAUCAGAUUUUCUCAUUUAAUCUGGUGAUAAAAUAAUUUAAACCGGAAGAAUCAAAUUCACAUUUAUUAUCAUUGAUUAUUAUUAUUAUUGUUAUUAUUAUUAUUAUUACUAGUAUUGUUUGUUUUGAUCUGAGCUUUUCUCCACCAGGUGGCUUCAGAAUAAUUAAGAUGUAAUAAUUUAGAUUUUUUUUUGCAUUUUUUUUAUCUGACAUAUUAAUAAAAAUCUGGAUGUUUUCAGGUUUAUUCCAGUCAGGUGAUUUACCUGCUGGGUAAACAGAAACAAAAUCCUGACCUGCCUGCUGGGACGGGUUUAAUGUUCACUGCAGUCCAAUCAUGUUAGAAUAAAUGUUUUUAUUAACCAUAAAUUUGUUGAUUUAUUACUGAAUUGAUUGAUUGAUUGUAAAUCAGGAUUUUCUGUCUGACUGACGGAUGUUUCAUCAUUUUGGUGUUUAAAUGUUGGUGGUUCUGUUGCUCCGGGUCUCAGCUGAACGAUCCGGUUCUGGUUCUCAUCAGAACCAGAAGCUUUUUACUUUUUCUGAUGCUCCUGGUUCUGAUUCUGGUUAGAGGCCAGAUGUGUGAGUUAUUUUCCUGUUGGUUCUCAGAUGAAGGUAAAGCUUUUAAAGUGAAAUUAAAAGCUUUAAAAGCUUUUUAACAUGAACGUAAUUUCUAUUUCCUGUUUAAUAAAGUAUUAAAGAUCC